AUUGAACGCUGGCGGCAUGCUUUACACAUGCCAGUCGAACGGUAACAGGCCGCAAGGUGCUGACGAGUGGCGAACGGGUGAGUAAUGCAUCGGAACGUGCCCAGUCGUUGGGGAUAACUACUCUAAAGAGUAGCUAAUCCCGCAUACGAUCUAUGGUUGAACGCGGGGGACCGUAAGGCCUCGCGCGAUUGGAGCGGCCGAUGUGCGAUUAGGUAGUUGGUGGGGUAAAGGCUCACCAAGCCAACGAUCUGUAGCUGGUCUGAGAGGACGACCAGCCACACGGGGACUGAGACACGGCCCAGACGCCUAAGGGAGGGAGCAGUGGGGAAUUUUGGACAAUGGGCGCGAGCAUGAUCCAGCAAGGCCGCGUGCAGGAAGAAGGCCUUCGGGUUGUAAACUGCUUUUGUACGGAACGAAACGGCUCUGGUUAAUACCAGGGGCGAAUGACGGUACCGUAAGAAUAAGCACCGGCUAACUACGUG
rnacentral:rRNA from 1 species